GAGGCGGGGUCUCCCGCUCGUCGGAGGGGGCGCGGAACCGAUCUUGCGCAUGCGCGGGCGCUGCUCGGCGCGUGCUGCCUGUGGGGGGAGGUGCGGGCGUGUGGGGUCAGCCCCUUGCGCGCGCCUCCGUGGGCGUGAGUGUGCACGGGCGUGCGGGCACCUCUGCCUGCAGCACGCGGGUGAGCUGCCAGAGCCCUCCUGCACGUGGGCAUACAGAUCCACGGGAAGGGUGUAUGGGCGUAGGUAUGGUAUGGUAUAUACAUACGAAAGUGGAAAGGAAAAGGCAAAUUUUUAAGCCCUUGUUUAGUUCUGUGUGCACUUUUAAGGUCUUUAAAAGGACAGGGACGUACAUUACGGCAUGUAACUUGGUUUUGGAAGGCCUUGUGCCUGUCACGGGCGUCCUGGCAGGACAAGCUCACGUCCAGCUUUUUGUGCGCCAGCACCCCCAAGUCCUCCCCAGGGCUCCUCUCAGUGAGUUCUUCUCCCAGACUAUACUUAUGCCUGGGGUUGCUCUUCUUGUCCUUUGCAUCCUUCAGCAGUUUCAAUUCUAGCCUAGCGCUGGCCUUCACGAUUUCAUUGCUCGUUUAGAUGGUGCUCCUGAAGUUCUCUCUUCAGUCUGUCCUCUACGCUCCCUGCGUGGAAGCUUCUCCAUAAACUUUUUUGGGACCUUUGGUCACCUUGGCAGCUGAAGUUUGCAUCAUUAUAGCAGGAAGGAGCAGGACUGUUCCAAGAAAUUUAAGAUAGAGACACCUUGGGUUUCCUUUUAUCAAGGAAAUUCUCUUUUUUUAUCCCUCUUUCCUUCCAGAUAUCUGAUAUAUAUAACUAUUUUUUUUCUUAUUUUUGGCCCUCACAGAGCAUUACAUGCCCUUUUUUUUUCUUUUUCUUUUUUCUCUCCCAUGGAACUACUGACCACAAACCUGACACCUCGUCCUGGGUUAGGAAUGGCCAUCUCGCAGUCCAUCGCUGCUCUGAGGUGACAUUGCGUAGAAAUGUCACAGGUUUUUCUCUGAAGAAAGAAGAGAACACAAUCUCUUAGUCUAAAAGUGCGGUUGUGAGAUGGAGGCAGGUGAUAGUAGAUACAGGAAAUGUGCAGGAUGGGUCAUGGUCUCAUAGUGAUAGGACAAGAGAUAAUGGCUUUAAGCUAAAAUGGGGAGAUUUAGGUUAGAUGUUAGAAGGAAAUUUUUCACUCAGAGGAUGGUGAGGAGAUAUGGGACAAAUCACGUUGGCUACGGACACUCAAACAACGAUACACUGAGGAAUACACCACGAGCAAAUAGCUCUGUUGCAGUAGUGCAUGGAUUGACGAAGGUGUGUGAUGGAUUUCAGUUUGAUUCUACAAGGGAUAAAUUGCUAUUUGGGGAAAGUAUUAAGUUACUUUUUGGUUUUAUAUCAUGUGUUUGAAAUUUUUACACUGAAGUGACUUGACUUGCCAUAGAUUAAUUAUGGCCACCAAUGUCCCUGGGCUGCUUCUGUUUGGAAGAGGAAAACUGUACUGCCUUAUUAAGUAUGUUACAUUUUCCAAAGCACUCAGGUAUUGCGGUAUAGAUGCGCUUUUGUACCUUGAGUGUUUUCAGCCAAGGUAUAGCCAGCUACUGGGAAGCAACUGGAUCUGACCAGCUAUGCAAACUCCACAUUUGGAGAAAUGUGAGUGGAAUUCUCAGUGGAAAAGCCACUUCUGUGUGUCUCUUCGCUAAUCCAUACUGCAGCACUCAGGCAUCACUAAGUGCUGCUGCUGAGGGGAAUGAGUGGUUCAGCGAUGUCUUGCAGUGAUCCCCUCCACAGAAUGGGCUGUGGUGAGAUGCUUCAAUUACCUGAUACAAGCAGAGCUGGGUAAAAAUGUGAAACCCAACAAUUAUAGCUAAUAGGCUGAUUGCUAUGUAGAAGCCCUGCAGAAAACCUAAUCUCGGCAUCCAGACAUUUGUAAACAAGUGUCUUUUCUUCACUGCUGGAGGAGAGCAGAUGCGACUUGCCUCCCAAGUUGUGUGGAAUAGGCAGUGAUUUCCAGCAUGAGGACAAGGAAAAAUUUUAAUUAAAAAUUGAAUUCCAAUUCACCAUUCACAUGUAAUGCUGGAGAGAUACCAUCAGGUCUGCUGCAUAUUAAUUUCAGAUGUUGAUGUCUCACUUCAGAGAGAAUAAUUUUCUUUGGAGAUAUCUUAGUGAGCAUAUGAAGAACGCUGCAUGUAUCCCAUUCUCAUUUCAUGUGAAAACUCCAAUACAAAGAACCCAGUAAUACUCCUUUUCUGCGUUGAUUUCAGAGAAUUAUCUGAGAAAAUGAGAUCUUGAAGCCCUGUAAGUGUAGCCCCUUAGAUGAGAGGCAUCUUUUUCUGAACAGUCUACCUUAGUUAAUCCUUUUUUGACAGAAAGAGUACACUGAAGUGUUACGAGCCUUUGGGAGCCAAGCCAAAUGCUUCAGCCUGCUGAUAGCUGGAGAUUUUAUGUCUCCCUUUGCCGUUAAAAGAUAAGGGACAGGAAAAAAAUAAUCAGUAAUAUAAUGAAAUACUGAGUUAGAGCCUAGUCUUGGUAACACAGAGAAAAACCCCUGUGGUGAUUGAGUGAUUGUGAUGGAAAUACGAGUUGUUACUGGGAUAAGAAAGAGUGGUCUGUUAUCCCAGCUGUUCCUCUCUUUUUUCCCUUGAGGAAACUUGGAGAUCGGGGGUUAGCACUCUGCUCAGAUCUCUUCAUUUGCAGUGCAGAUGCAGACAGGGAGACUUAAGCUCUUAAGGCUAUCUAUAGGGGACUGCAGGUUGGUUGGGUGGAUGCAGUGUUACCUUUGCUGGAGGAGGAGAGGAAGCCGAGAGAACGUGGUGGAGGCAGCAUGGCCAUGCCCUGACUGGUGAGCGAGAUGCUCCAGCUCUUUUGGGGCAGAAGGCGGCCACAGCCGGAGUGGAUGCUGUUCCUAAACUUUCCUUCUUGCUGUCAUGUCAGGAAUUAACAGGUUGAGAGUAGUUAAUGUGCCACCCAAAAUCUUAAAAUCCAUGCAAAAUCUUGGCUCCUCUACCUUGUGCUGACCCUCCUUGUGCUGAGAGCUGUGGUAAGGUUUUAGGUAGAGUGAGCUACAAAUGAAGCAAGGGGAAAUAAGGAAACAGGCACUUCACUUUCCAGAGUCCUCUGGAGACAUGUUUUCACCACAUCCCACAUAUUUUUAUGUAAUAUGUUUUUUUUGCCAGUGUUAACUUUCAAUGUCUGAAGCCAGUCUUAGCUUUUAUUAUUGGCUUGAUAUGUAGGAAUAGCAGGGAGAAUGUUUAAACUCCUCCAGGAUACUGCUCUUUUCAUUCAUGAGACGUAGAAGCAUUAGCCUGAAAAACACAGGAGCUAAAUGCAAGCAGUGCAGAGAAAAGUUUGUUUGAUUCUUUGCCUCAGCUUGACACUCCCUUUUGUCAGGCAUGCUUCCAGUUACCCUAAAUUCCCACUGGAGGAGGAAAAGGUUGUGAAUGCUUGGUGAACAAACUAUCAGGCGUGACUUUCAGUGCUUCAUUCUAGGAGGUGAGCUACUGAUCUCUGCUUCUUCACUUCAACCUGAAGGAUGUUUGCCUUUCAGAAAUGUAGGCGUCUCUGAAAGGCAGUGCAUGCUUCUGAGUCCUGAAACACGUACUUGUUCUGCCCCUUCCUCACACAGACUGGUCUCUGGGUUAAAGUGUGGUGUGGAGGUUCCUGCUAUCUUGACCUCUGUCCCAUCUCUAGCUGUAAGGCUGCUCUCAGCUGCUGGUGAUGGUGUUUUUGUUCCUCUCUGUGAGCUGAGGGAGGUUUCCCCUGCAUUUCGCUGCUUUCCCCAGCACAGCGGCCCCUGGAAGGAAUUGAGUGGAAGGAGAAGCAGCUCAUGCUCACCUCUUUGUCCUUGAGUCUUUGAGUUGGCUGUCUUUCUGCUAGCCUUGGGUACACCUUGCUUAUUUUCCUUGCAGGGGCAGAUUAUGGACGGAACUGUUCUUCUCGUGAGGUGCAGAGCUUGUACUUCACCGCAGGUCUCCAAAAUAUUCUGUUCGGUCACCUCUGCAGAUGAGUUGGAAAAGCUCCUUUGUGGCACUCUACCUUCUUUCCUUUUUUUUUUUCUUUUUUUUUUUUUUUUCCGUGCUGUGAGGAUGAUAGCAUUGCAGGUAUUCCCGACCCAUUUUUUCCUGCCUUUUUGCUCACUGCGGUGCUCACAUGCUUCUCUACAUUCACAGCCCAGCCUUGGCUCCUGGGAGGGUGUCUGGUUUCAGAAAGAAGUCAUGAGUCGUUGAUGUAGUUGUGAAAGAUGUUCAGAAGCAAUACUUCUGUAUUUACUCAGAGAUUUCAUGGGAACAUCUUGGUGUCUCCUGCAGCAUGCAGAUGAAACUGUCUUGCAUCACACAGCUAUGCACGUUUGGGUUAACUCUUGUUUCACUUGUAAGUGAGAAGCCUGAUUGACACAGCUGUUUUCCUGACCGCAUGCCUACAUUAUUUUUCCUGGAUAUAUAUAGAAUCCUGGCAUGCUGAGCAGAGCAAAAUGACUUUGUGCAAUUAAUGUGACAUGCUUAAUAAUGCUUGGAAGGGUGCAGGCAUCUGCGUUCAUCAACCUGCCACAGCUAAAAAAAAAAAAGUACUGCCAACCAAUCCGAGCACAAACACAGCACGUGUUUUUUGAAAACGAGGGGCCACAAGGUGCCCAGUAGGUAAUAUUGCUUUUGAGACGAGGCACUGUAUUUUCCCAAGAGAAACUUAUGUCGCGCCAGAGACUCCCUUUACCCUUGGGUUAUACUACUGGGUGACAAAUUCCAUUUACGAUCUUUUUUUCCUUUGGCAUUUUAAUGUCAUAAUUACUUUCCAAUUUAAGCAGCUUGAUCCUUGAAUACAAAAUAUGGUUUGGUUAAUAGCACUGCAGUGGCACUUUGGUGAAAUCAGGUCCAACUAGCUGUCCCUAUUUUUUUUCCAGUCAAUAAUAAAUGAUUUUUAUAAGGUCAUUAUGACAUUAUUGAAAAGUUGAAGACUUGGGUAAUGAGCGUAGAAUAUGCAGCUUUCCACACCUGGUGGUUUUGGUACAGCUGCAUUAGUAACACUAUUGUCUGGAGAGGCUUUAAUGUGGAAAGGAGGGUGCUCUUGAAAGGUAUCUGCAUGAAAACAACAUCUUGUUUAGCGUGAGAAGAAAAAGUGUCGGCCACAGGUCCAGAUUGCCCUGGCUGGGGUGUCAGGAGACACGGAUGUGAAGCCUGGCUCCCCUCCUUUCCUUAGCAGCAAUACAUGUCUUACUGCAGUUCUUCUUCAGCAGCUGCAGGCAGUGAAAGCACAGAAGCAAAGAGGAGCAGGGGAGGAGAAGGAAUGUUUAAGCAACCUUUCAUGCCUUGUUCUGCUGUGAAUUGCCUGCUUUUGGUAUGAGGUGGAAAUUUAAUUCCUGUGUUUUGGGUUUUGAUCCCUGCCUUACUUCCAGGCAGUGUCAGACAACAGGGCAGAGGGAUGAGGGGACGCUGACCACUGAAAGAACCUAGCUGGGGAGAAGAGGAUGAAAAGAUCAAUUUAAGCGGGGAUAAGUUGCAUUUAAACCCGGAGGCUAAAAGAGCUACAGCCAGCAUGUCUCAGACAGCUCCUAUCCCAAAUGCCGGGCUCACCAUGGAAGUACAGAACUGGGGGACACCUUGCAGAUCUCUGUUGGAGGAUGAAGUGCUCGGUGUCCUGCUAGAGCAUGUCCUGUGUCUGACCCACGCGCUUGCAUUGCUUUUCUGUGGAAACUACGAUAUCAUCCCCCAUCUCAGCCCCAUGUGACACUGGCAUGUGGCCAUGCCACACCUCCUGACCCUGGGGCUGAAAUACACUCUGGUGCACACUGAGCAGAAGAGAUCAUUCAGGCCAUUGUGCACCCGGCAAAUGCAUUCAGCAGGUGUUUUGUCUGGAAAAGCAUUGAACAUCUCAUCCAUACAUUUCAAUCCACUACUGCCCAAACACAGACUUAUGGUAAGGGGUCUCUGAACUUGCGAUUUUGCUUUCACAGUUUUGCUUAUGUAAUUUUACACUUGGUAGUAUAAGGAAGUAAUACUGUCAAUUUGACAUGCUGGAGGAAUGCAGGUAUUUUCACAGAGAAGGUAAAAUCCUUCAUACCAGAGGAAAAUUCUGUUGAAAUAGAUGGGAAUUUAGCUCAAGUAAGUGCUGAAAGGCUUGGUCCUUGGGGUGGAAAUACAUGUUGGAAUUGUACCAAGGUGCCUCGGUGUUUCUUGUUCCCAUUGCUUUUCUCUUCCAGAUAUGAUGACUGGAUGAAGAACUCAUUUGAACUGAAAAUAAGUAUAUUUUAAAACAAGGCAUUCAUUCUCCUAUGUCCAAAAAUCUGCUCACACUUAAAACAGUGUAUUGCUUUUUGUGCUGGUUUUCUCAGCUGGUCUUUAAUGUGUGUGAACUGUGAAAUCUUGAUUUUAAUUAUAUAGAAAAGGCCAAAGCUGUUAUCAAAUGAUUUGGUUUGCAAAGGCGGGAUGAGCUUCUGUGAACUAGUUUCCUUACUAACCAGCAGCGAUCAUUUAUUGCAGGUACUUAAAAAACAGCCACUGUACAGUUUAGAGGCAUUGAAGAAGAACUAUAGUGGUUGUCAUGCAUAUGAGAAUCAGAUUCAAAUAAUUCCAAUCAAUAUUAAUUGUGAUUUCUUCUCAGUUUUUCCCUUCUAAGCCUCUAAGUUACCUGACAGCCUUGCAAAUACAGAAAGAAAUGUAAAAAAAAAAAAAAAAAAAAAAAAAAAAAAAAAAAUCACAGGGCAGGCAUGAUUCUGUGCCCAUGGAUUUUUCUGUAGCCCUUGAAGGUUGCAGUGACAUUGCUUUUCUAAAGGAAGCAGCAGGUAAGAGCUUUUUUACCAGUUACAUCUGAUUUGAUAAGUAACUGGUUUCCUCACCAUUCUAAGGAGAAUAUUGAAAAUAAAUGCCAUUGUAUGCUUCCAAAUUCAUCGAAAUUGAUGCAGUUACAGACAUAAAUGCAUUGUAAAUCUGGAUUAGUGCUCAGAAGAUGUAACUGUAAGCAUAUGACUCCUGCGUGAUGUAGAUUCUGUAGCAGUGGCCAUCACUGCAUAGCCUGCUGCUUUUCAGUCUCUUGUUCUUACUGUAUGAGCCAGACUUGAUGCUUGUUUGUUUGUUAUUCAUAGAAUCAUUGAAUGGCUUAGCUUGGAAGCAGCCUUGAAGAUCAUCUAGUUCCAGACUCCCUGCCAUAGACAGGGUUGCUGACCACUAGAUCAGACUGCCCAGGGCCCCAUCCAGCCUGGCUUCCACGGAUGGGGCAUCCACAGCUUCUCUGGACAACUUGUUCCAGUGCUUCACCAUCCUCUGAGAGAGGCACUCCAGCCGUCUGACCAUCUUCAUGGCCCUCCUCUGGACCUGCUCCAACAGCUCUGCAUCCAUCUCAUUGUCUGGGCCCCGGGCCUGGACACAGUGCUCCAGAUGGGGCCUGUACAAGGGCAGAGUAGAGGAAGACAAUCACUUCCCUUCUUAUCUGUAAUGAUCAUCAAAGAGGUGAAAAGGUACCGUAAGUUUUAAACUGGUCUGCUAUUGAAGGCACAGUCACAAGAACUGCUUUUUGUGGCUCAGUCACCAGUGGAACUUCCAUGCUGGAAUGAUCAUUUUUCCUUCAGCAUACAUUUUGCCCCUUCCAGCCUGAAGUUAAUGACUGGAAAUUGCUGGAGAUUCUGUUCCUCAGAAUGAGGGAAAAUGGAACAAGAUGCUUUAUAUAAGGUUGGGGUUUAUCUUCCAUUAAAGUACCCACACGGAUGUUUCCAAGACUGGCAUACUGGAAGGGAUCCCUCUCUAGAGGGAAUAUCCUUUUUUUUUCGUGUUAUAAUUUAGUUAAUUCCAUGCUUACAGUAACUCUCUUUAAUGUUCUAUUAAACUAAUGAGCUACUAAGUGUAGCAUUUAGUGCUUCUGUUUGUUUAUUUCUUCUCCAUAAAAACACUCCUAUUGGACCUGAAAGCAAGAUUUGCACAAGAAAAUCUUUGUCCUGGGAGUGAGUGCCGUGGCUUGGUUUCUCUGUCAAGACUCUUGGCUCCUCAGAUAUAAGCAUGUAGGAUCCUCAGCUAAGAGAUGCGAAAUGUGGUAAGUGCUUGUAGUCAUUAUAAACUGGAAUCAAAGCUGUAGCCUAACUUCUAGUGCUGUAAUGUUUGUAAUGCUGGAAAUACUACCUUCAUGCAGAGUAUCAGAAGUGCACUGUACACUUAAUUACUAAUUAAGACAUUACUAUUUGAAACACUAGAUACUGUGCCUAGAUAUUCUUUUUUUUUUUUGUUUUUCAGAGUAAAGUGAUGCCAAAUCUAUAAAAUCAUGAACUGAAAGUAGUUGAGAGUAAUAUCCAAAUUUAACUGAACACUCAGGGCUGGAUGUGACCUUUGGAGAUUAACACCUUGAUUGUUUUGUGACUAUAUGCAAAUAUUUGGGUAAGAAGUAAUUAGGGAACAAUGGCACUGUCCUCCAUAUUGAACUUUCCUCAGCAAAAGAAAUGCUGUGCCAAUACAGAUGCAGUGGGCAUGCAGCAUUUGCCUUCCACAUGAGUUUACGGGGAGGUAGUGUGGAAGAGGCCAACUCACGCAGUGUCACCUCCUGAUCAUUCCUUUGUGUUUGAAUCUUUAUUUCCACUAUCUCAAGAGUUAAAGGCUAACAUUUGAAAAGGUUGUUUUGGGGUAAAACCUACCUGUACUGGGUUAUCAUACAGCUAUGAAAAAGACAAUUGUUAUUACCCUGAUGAGGAAUUGGUAAUAAAACAACAGUGGCUUUAUUUUAUUUGAAAAAAAAAAAAAAAGUUUGGGGGUUUAUAUUACUCCACUCAUUGUCAACAUAAUCAUUUCUACAGAGACAUUGUAAAACAGAAUGGUUACUCAUAAUGAGUGACUUUGUGAUGAGACCCUUAUGUGAUGUAGAUUCUACUGCAGCGAGCAUCACUGUGUGUAGCGUGCUGCUUUACAAUUUUUUUUUGUAAUUAUUUUUAUUUUUUACCAUCUGAGGAAGACUUGAUGCUUGGAAAGGUGUGUGAUGUUGUUAGCUUUGUGGCUGUGAAAACAUUUUCAGCCAAAGCAGAACAGAUAAAAGAGAAAGCAUCAGGAAGGAAUGUCUUUACUCCACAGGUGUUGGCAGAAGUUGAUUACUGAAAUAGAGUUUCUCCCUGCAAGUUUGUGGCAGGCUUUGAUAGCUGGAAAGAGUGAUGAUUACUGUAGGGUUGUCUGUGAAUAAGUAGAUUUUAUCUGCAACUGAAGCAGUUACAAAUGUAGCAUAUGCAUUGCUAUGCAGUACUUAUUUCUUACUCACCUGAGAAAGUAAUCUGAGAGGCUUUGAACCUCCUGUUGCUCACUGAGAAGGUCACUGGGCAUUUUUUGUGGACACAGACCUUUGUACAGUUCUUUGUGAAGACUGUAAUGUGAGGAAACCGUGCUGUAGACCCAAACUCUCUUUCAACUUUCUUGUGAUUUGAGUUCUGAUAUCUGAUUUUUCAUAUAUGAAUUCAUGAAUGCAGUAAAAGAGAUCUUAUAACUUCAAUAGAGUUUCCUUACAGUGGUCUUCUUAUAUUCUUGUGGUUUAUACCCACGCAAUGUGGAGGAUGUCACGUGCAGUCAAAAUUUCAAUUUCCACUUAUAUUGUCAGAAUAUGGUUAAAAUGGUUAUGCUGAUUAGUUUUAUUACUUUAUUUAAUGCAUCUUCAUACUGUCUCUGUAUACAUUUACACUUAGUGCAGAUGCAAACUGAACAGCAAAGUUAACUAGCUCAGUGCAGCCACAUCACACCCUUGACUCUCUGAGAGCUAGGUUAAGCAUGUGGUAACCACACUUGGGGAACUGUAGCAAAGCCCUCGGCUCAAGAGGCUUCUAACUCCUCAGCCAAAUGGACAGGCAGGAGCACCCCCGGCUGCUGCUGCUAGCCAUCAGAUCUUGAAACAACAUGGGAUUCAAGCAGGAGAGAUAAAGUUUCAGGGGAAAAUUCCUCAGGGAAUGUGAACCAGCCCCUCCUACCUUCUGAACUGUGGGUGCCUGGGUCAUCCUUGCUGCAGAGCCGUGCAUGCGGCAGGGACUGCGCCUUUGCUGCAUUCAGCUCUGACCUGGUGUGCCUCCUGUUGGCAUCAAGCAGAACAGAAGUGAGAUGGAGCUAACCCCUUAUGACAACUGCUUAAGUAAAUGAUGCAAGAGGCAUCUCAUACGUGAGACUUGCAGGACACUGGGGGCAUCAGGGUUAAUGUCUGAGCCAUGCUGAAAGGGUCGCAAGGAGGGAGAUCAUUUCUCAGCUCCCCUGGCUUCUGUUCUCGAAGAUUUAAAAUAAGUUUUGGCUGGAUAAAGCAAGUAGCUUUCCCCAACUCCAUCAUUUAAGUCUAUGGGGCCCAAAUUGAAUGGCCUUUAGUGUUAAUCUUUAAAUCUUUCAAUGCAGUGAUUAAACAUGACAGGGAUUAUGCCUCUGCCCAAUGGCUGCUCACCUAGGUGUGCUGCUGGUGGGAUGGGAAGCACAAAGCUAAAUGCUCUUAAGCAUCCAAGCACAAUGCUAUUUCAAAAUACAACGAGCCCUGUCAUGUCCGCUGUUGACGGAGCAUUUCCUUUUUUGCUGGAGGUAGGGUGAAACAAACAGCUGUUAAAAUGAACAUCUUCCAAAGCAAAAAAAAAAAAAAAAAAAAAAAAAAAAAAAAA